GGUGCAUGGCUGUCGUCAGCUCGUGUCGUGAGAUGUUGGGUUAAGUCCCGCAACGAGCGCAACCCUCGUUUUUAGUUGCCAUCAUUAAGUUGGGCACUCUAGAGAGACUGCCGGUGACAAACCGGAGGAAGGUGGGGAUGACGUCAAGUCAGCAUGCCCCUUACGUUCUGGGCUACACACGUACUACAAUGCUACGGACAAAGGGUAGCAAGCAUGCGAAUGCAAGCCAAUCCCAUAAACCGUGGCUCAGUUCAGAUUGCAGGCUGCAACUCGCCUGCAUGAAGGCGGAAUCGCUAGUAAUCGCAGGUCAGCACUACUGCGGUGAAUACGUUCCCGGGCCUUGUACACACCGCCCGUCACACCAUGGAAGCUGGCUUAGCCCGAAGUCGUUACCCUAACCGAAAGGAGGGGGAUGCCGAAGGCAGGGCUGGUGACUGGGGUGAAGUCGUAACAAGGUAGCCGUACCGGAAGGUGUGGCUGGAUCACCUCCUUUAAGGGAGACCAAGCCCAUUAAUUACCGAAAAUACCAAUUAAGUAUUAAUGAGGUCAACCUAGGUCGUGGCGAAGAGUGCGAGGCUUUUCAAUUAUAAUUAAGGUUUGGGGGCUAUUAGCUCAGGUGGUUAGAGCGCACCCCUGAUAAGGGUGAGGUCCCUGGUUCGAGUCCAGGAUAGCCCACCUAGAGAAAGCAGCUAGCAUCAAUGUCAAAUGUUAGUUGCGAAGUUCUUCGGGGACUUAACUUAGCUGGUAGAACAACUGCUUUGUAAGCAGAAUGUCAACAGUUCGAGUCUACUAAUCUCCACCAAAAGAAAACUAGCCAAAAAUAGACCUAGCACCAUGACCACUAAAAGUAGUCAGAAUGCUGAGUUAUUACUCAGUCAGAACCUUGAAAACUGCAUAGAGAAAGCAAAUAGCAGGCAGAUCCAAUAGGGUAAAACCUAAAGUAUCUGACGAAAAAAACUGGUCAAGCUACAAAGGGCUAAUGGUGGAUACCUWGGCACACAGAGGCGADG
rnacentral:sRNA from 1 species